GACGAACGCUGGCGGCGUGCUUAACACAUGCAAGUCGAACGGAAAGGCCCUGCUUUUGUGGGGUGCUCGAGUGGCGAACGGGUGAGUAACACGUGAGUAACCUGCCCUUGACUUUGGGAUAACUUCAGGAAACUGGGGCUAAUACCGGAUAGGAGCUCCUGCUGCAUGGUGGGGGUUGGAAAGUUUCGGCGGUUGGGGAUGGACUCGCGGCUUAUCAGCUUGUUGGUGGGGUAGUGGCUUACCAAGGCUUUGACGGGUAGCCGGCCUGAGAGGGUGACCGGCCACAUUGGGACUGAGAUACGGCCCAGACUCCUACGGGAGGCAGCAGUGGGGAAUAUUGCACAAUGGGCGGAAGCCUGAUGCAGCAACGCCGCGUGCGGGAUGACGGCCUUCGGGUUGUAAACCGCUUUCGCCUGUGACGAAGCGUGAGUGACGGUAAUGGGUAAAGAAGCACCGGCUAACUACGUGCCAGCAGCCGCGGUGAUACGUAGGGUGCGAGCGUUGUCCGGAUUUAUUGGGCGUAAAGGGCUCGUAGGUGGUUGAUCGCGUCGGAAGUGUAAUCUUGGGGCUUAACCCUGAGCGUGCUUUCGAUACGGGUUGACUUGAGGAAGGUAGGGGAGAAUGGAAUCCCCGGUGGAGCGGUGGAAUGCGCAGAUAUCAGGAGGAACACCAGUGGCGAAGGCGGUUCUCUGGGCCUUUCCUGACGCUGAGGAGCGAAAGCGUGGGGAGCGAACAGGCUUAGAUACCCUGGUAGUCCACGCUGUAAACGGUGGGUACUAGGUGUGGGGUCCAUUCCACGGGUUCCGUGCCGUAGCUAACGCUUUAAGUACCCCGCCUGGGGAGUACGGCCGCAAGGCUAAAACUCAAAGGAAUUGACGGGGCCCCGCACAAGCGGCGGAGCAUGCGGAUUAAUUCGAUGCAACGCGUAGAACCUUACCUGGGUUUGACAUGGAUCGGGAGUGCUCAGAGAUGGGUGUGCCUCUUUUGGGGUCGGUUCACAGGUGGUGCAUGGCUGUCGUCAGCUCGUGUCGUGAGAUGUUGGGUUAAGUCCCGCAACGAGCGCAACCCUUGUUCACUGUUGCCAGCACGUUAUGGUGGGGACUCAGUGGAGACCGCCGGGGUCAACUCGGAGGAAGGUGGGGAUGACGUCAAGUCAUCAUGCCCCUUAUGUCCAGGGCUUCACGCAUGCUACAAUGGCUGGUACAGAGAGUGGCGAGCCUGUGAGGGUGAGCGAAUCUCGGAAAGCCGGUCUCAGUUCGGAUUGGGGUCUGCAACUCGACCUCAUGAAGUCGGAGUCGCUAGUAAUCGCAGAUCAGCAACGCUGCGGUGAAUACGUUCCCGGG
rnacentral:rRNA from 1 species